AGGACGAACGCUGGCGGCGCGCCUAAAACAUGCAAGUCGAACGAGAAACCCGGGCUUGCCCGGGUGGACAGUGGCGAACGGGUGAGUAACACGUGAGGAACCUGCCCCGAAGACCGGGACAACACCGGGAAACCGGUGCUAAUACCGGAUACCUUCACCGGAUCGCAUGGUCUGGUGAAGAAAUGGAUUCCGCUUCGGGAUGGCCUCGCGGCCUAUCAGCUAGUUGGUGAGGUAACGGCUCACCAAGGCGACGACGGGUAACUGGUCUGAGAGGAUGUCCAGCCACACUGGGACUGAGACACGGCCCAGACUCCUACGGGAGGCAGCAGUUAGGAAUCUUGCGCAAUGGACGAAAGUCUGACGCAGCGACGCCGCGUGCGGGAUGAAGGCCUUCGGGUUGUAAACCGCUUUCAGCAGGGACGAAUUGACGGUACCUGCAGAAGAGCCCGGCCAACUACGUGCCAGCAGCCGC
rnacentral:rRNA from 1 species